rnacentral:rRNA from 1 species
CUCCCAAACCCCUGUGAACAUACCUUAUGUUGCCUCGGCGGAUCAGCCCGCGCCCCGUGAAAAGGGACGGCCCGCCGCAGGAACCCUAAACUCUGUUUUUAGUGGAACUUCUGAGUAUAAAAAACAAAUAAAUCAAAACUUUCAACAACGGAUCUCUUGGUUCUGGCAUCGAUGAAGAACGCAGCAAAAUGCGAUAAGUAAUGUGAAUUGCAGAAUUCAGUGAAUCAUCGAAUCUUUGAACGCACAUUGCGCCCGCCAGUAUUCUGGCGGGCAUGCCUGUUCGAGCGUCAUUUCAACCCUCAAGCCCAGCUUGGUGUUGGGAGCUGCAGUCCUGCUGCACUCCCCAAAUACAUUGGCGGUCACGUCGAGCUUCCAUAGCGUAGUAAUUUACAUAUCGUUACUGGUAAUCGUCGCGGCCACGCCGUUAAACCCCAACUUCUGAAUGUUGACCUCGGAUCAGGUAGGAAUACCCGCUGAACUUAAGCAUAUC